CCUACGGGUGGCAGCAGUGAGGAAUAUUGGUCAAUGGGCGCUAGCCUGAACCAGCCAAGUAGCGUGAAGGAAGACUGCCCUAUGGAUUGUAAACUUCUUUUGUCUGGGAGUAAAGUGCAGUAUGCAUACUGCUUUGCGUGUACCUGAUGAAUAAGCAUCGGCUAACUCCGUGCCAGCAGCCGCGGUAAUACGGAGGAUGCGAGCGUUAUCCGGAUUUAUUGGGUUUAAAGGGUGCGCAGGCGGUAGGUAAAGUCAGCGGUAAAAGCCCGGGGCUCAACCUCGGCGCGCCGUUGAAACUGGCAGUCUCGAGUGGGAGAGAAGUAUGCGGAAUGCGCGGUGUAGCGGUGAAAUGCAUAGAUAUCGCGCAGAACUCCGAUUGCGAAGGCAGCAUGCCGGCGCCACACUGACGCUGAGGCACGAAAGCGUGGGUAUCGAACAGGAUUAGAUACCCCGGUAGUC
rnacentral:rRNA from 1 species